rnacentral:rRNA from 1 species
AGUGAACGCUGGCGGCAGGCCUAACACAUGCAAGUCGAACGGCAGCACAGGGGAGCUUGCUCCCUGGGUGGCGAGUGGCGGACGGGUGAGGAAUACAUGGGAAUCUGCCCCGACGUGGGGGAUAACGUAGGGAAACUUACGCUAAUACCGCAUGAUCUGGAGACAGCAAAGCGGCGGACCACAAGGCGUCGCGCGACGGG